rnacentral:piRNA from 1 species
AAGAAUUGAGGGGGCUGGAGAGAUGG